AGAGAUCCCAAGAAACUCUUAAGUGGAAGUAUCUCGUAUCCCCACGAUGCGACCGGUCACAAAACACGCGACCCGAGAUACUGGAAGUGGAGGCUUCUCGAUGGACCAAGCUGCGCGGUUUUCAUACCGACCCGCGGCCAGGCUGUCAGAUAGGUGGCCGGCCACAAUCACUGCCACCUUGGACAGGGACCCGUGAGCUGACGGCCAUCAAGCUUCAUAAACUGGUCCGAAUCCAACGGACCGCUACUGCCGGAAACGGAAAGUCCUCAAGGGCGGGUUUUGGAAGCGGAGCGGAAGCGGAAGGCGGGUACCGGAAACGGUGUUUGGCGGAGCCCGCGAUGGCCGAACCUGCGUCUGUCGCGGCUGAAUCUCUCGCGGGCAGCAGGGCGCGCGCUGCACGAACAGUACUAGGUCAGGUGGUGCUCCCGGGUGAGGAGCUGCUCCUGCCGGAACAGGAGGACGCGGAAGGCCCUGGGGGUGCAGUGGAGCGACCGUUGAGCCUGAAUGCCGGAGCGCGCUCGCGGGUGCGCGUUGUAUGCGGUCCGGGCCUUCGGCGCUGUGGGGACCGCCUGCUGGUCACCAAGUGCGGCCGCCUCCGUCACAAGGAGCCCGGCAGUGGCAGCGGCGGCGGUGUUUACUGGGUGGACUCUCAGCAGAAGCGGUAUGUUCCAGUAAAAGGAGACCAUGUGAUUGGCAUAGUGACAGCUAAAUCUGGAGAUAUAUUCAAAGUUGAUGUUGGAGGGAGUGAGCCAGCUUCUUUGUCUUACUUGUCAUUUGAAGGUGCAACUAAAAGAAACAGACCAAAUGUGCAGGUUGGAGAUCUCAUCUAUGGCCAAUUUGUGGUUGCUAAUAAAGACAUGGAACCAGAGAUGGUCUGUAUUGACAGCUGUGGACGAGCCAAUGGAAUGGGUGUCAUUGGACAGGAUGGUCUGCUUUUUAAAGUGACUCUGGGCUUAAUUAGAAAGCUAUUAGCUCCAGAUUGUGAAAUCAUACAGGAAGUGGGAAAACUCUAUCCACUGGAGAUAGUAUUUGGAAUGAAUGGAAGAAUAUGGGUUAAGGCAAAAACCAUCCAGCAGACUUUAAUUUUGGCAAACAUUUUAGAAGCUUGUGAACACAUGACGUCAGAUCAAAGAAAACAGAUCUUCUCCAGAUUGGCAGAAAGUUGAUAUAGGUGGACUUUACAGGUUCGUUACAACAGCCACCUUGGAACUUAGUAACCCAGUAUAGAAAAUCAAACACUUUACUAGUUUACUAAGGAAUCCCAGAAGCUGGAGUUGACCAUAUUCUUCGGAAAGCUGUACCCUUCUGGGCCUCCCUCAUGGCGAGCAGGAAUUCCAGGCUUAGUGGAUGUUCUACCUUCUUUGACAUGUAGUGGGUCAUACUCAAAUCGAUACAUAGUCUUGGUCCUGAGUGUUUGGCUUCCAAAAGUUUGUCUUUGGUUAGAGCUCUCAGGAAACGUUUGCUGUGCUGGGGGCAAAUGCCUAAAGCAGAAAUAUCAGAAAGAAAUAAAAGUGGAAAACCAGAGGAAUAUUAUAUAAGAAACAAAUCUUAGCCAGUAUCCAUCUUUAAAACGGGGGUGUCUUGAGACAUUCCAUCAUUCAAGGCCUAUGGCCAGGCAAUUCACGCACUCACCGAGCACCAUGCCGUACUGCCUGUGGCCAGGAUCUCUCCCUCCUGGCACUCGCCUUCCGCAUCGAUCUGCAGAAGCUGGAAGCCUUCAGGAAGUCCAUCUUCACCUGUCUCCUCUAGGAUGCCUUCUUGCCCCUGCAGCACAGGUGACUCUACUUUCUGAGUACUCCCUUCCAAUUUCCAGUCCAUGGACUUAGUCCUCUGUCCUUUCAACCAGACUGGAAAAAGGCACAAUUAUGUGAGCUAUUACAUUAUUUCACUAACAUAGGUAUCUCCCUACAUCCAAAUGACAAAGUGUUAUUGUGUUACUGAAAGAAGUGUGUAAAAUACUGAACCAGAUUUACUGGACUGAGGAAAGCAUGUGUCUUCCAGAUACAUGAUUCAGCAGAGAAACAGUUCAGUAGUAAGGAAGUUUUUUUUGUUUGAGACAGAGUUUUGCUCUCGUUACUCAGGCUGGAGUACAAUGGUGUGAUCUCGGCUCACUGCAAACUCUGCCUCCUGAAUUCCAGUGAUUCUUCUGCCUCAGCCUCCUGAGUAGCUGGGAUUACAGGCAUCUGCCACCAAGCCCGGCUAAUUUUUCUAUUUUUAGUAGAGAUGGGGUUUCACCAUGUUGGCCAGGCUGGUCUUGGACUCCUGACCUCAAGUGAUCUACCCAUCUCGGCCCCCCAAAGUGCGGGGAUUACAGGCAUGAGCCACUGCACCCAGCCCCAGAUACACUUCUUAGAGGACAUGCACAACACCUGACAUCUCCAAGCAAUCAAUGAUUAUCCAUAGCUGCAGUGACACAGAUAACCAAGUUAUUUAUUGUGUACUUUAAAAUGCAUGAUAUGAUUUGAGGGUAAGACAGAUUGCAAAAGCCACUUCACCUCCCCCAUUAUGUUUCAACCACUUUAUUUUCAAAAUUGUUCCUUUAGCAAAUAUUUAUUGAAUACCUACUGUAAGUAAGGUACUAUACUAGAGACAUCCUGGGAGAAUGUACCAAUAUAUAUAGUAGAGUGACAUGAAACCAAGAAUUCUUUUAGGUUGUUGGUAUGUAUCAGUUUUUUUAAACUAUGUAUUUCCUCCAACUCAGUUGAGCACCACUGCAGUAGAAAGCCACAGUCACCACUGAAAAUGUUUAAUAUCCCUCAGAAGUGCUGAGGUUGAAUACUACAGACAAGCACUCUUACACAACACUUAAUGAUGUCAUAAUUUCAAAGUGGAGUUCAAGAUCUGAGAACGAUAUGAGUCAGAAAUGCUUUAGUCAAUGGUCAAAUGUCACAGAACACAAAUGAUGUGACCAUUACCUAUGGCUGGUCCUCCGGGUGUAGUCACACAACCACUUUUAUGAAAAAUAUAUCUUAAAAAGUGUUAAGUCUAUGUAGUAUGAUUCAUGUAUAUGGUGUUAAAAAAAAACUAUAAUGAAAAGUAACAAUCCACACUCCUAUCCCUUCCACCUCUAGUGGCACCCUUGUUAACCAGUUGUUUUUUGUUCUUUUGGUAAUUAACUCCUUAAACUGAAAUCAUAUGCUUACAUCAUUAUUUCAUGAUUCAUCAGCUUUGAAUGUAUUGACUCCCUAUGAAACAUAAGAAUUCAAAUCGCUUAAAUCAGUCUGUAUUAUUACUAUUUUUGAGACAGGGUCUCACUGUUACCCAAGCUCGAGUGCGGUGGCACAAUCAUAGUUUACUACAGCCUCAACCUGCUCAAGCAAUCCUCCCGCCUCAGCCUCCCAUGUAGCUAGGACUACAGGCAUGCAUCACCAUGCUUGGCUAAUUUUAAAAUUUUCUGUAGAGAUAGGGGUCAACCCCUAUUUAAAUUACUUAUUUUGAGAUGGAGUCUCACACUGUCACCCAGGCUGGAGUGCAGCGUUGCAAUCUCAGCUCACUGCAACCUCCGCCUCCCAGGUUCAAACAAUUCUCCUGCUUCAGCCUCCCCAGUAGUGGGAUUACAGGCGCCAGCCACCAGGCCCAGCUAAUUUUUUUAUUUUUACUAGAGAUGGGGUUUCACCAUGUUAGCCAGGCUGGUCUUGAAUUCCUGACCUCAGGUGAUCCGCCCACCUCGGCAUCCCAAAGUGCUGGGAUUACAUGUGUGAACCACCGCACCUAGCCUAUUAUUUUUAAUUCUUCAUUAGUUAUCUUGAUUUUGAAAUUUGAGAUCAAGUUACCUUGAUCUUUACAUUUUUUUGGCAAAGAUUUUAAGGGUACAGUUUAAUGAAUUUGUGUAUGUGGUAAAAUAUACUAACUCAAUGAGCUUUAACAAAUGUAUAGGUUCUGUGUUACUGACAAUCCUGUCAAGAUAUGGAACAUUUCCAUCACCGCAGAAAGUUUUUGUUUUUGAGAUGAAGUCUCACUCUGUUGCCUAGGCUGGAAUGCAGUGGCAUAAUCUUGGCUCACUGGAACCUCCGCCUCCUGAGUUCAAGCAAUUCUCCCAUCUCAGCCUCUUAAGUUUCUGGGACUACAGUCAUGCACCACCAUGCCCAGCUAAUUUUUGUAUUUUUAGCAGAAAUGAAUUUCACCAUGUUGACCAGGCUGGUCUCGAACUCCUGACCUCAAGUGAUUCACCCGCCUUGGCCUCCCAAAGUGCUGGGAUUACAGGCGUGAGCCACCACACCCAGCCUCACUCCCCAGAAAGUUUAACUUUCUUCUCCACUGUCCAAAUCAGUCUUCAUCCCAUUCCCACAACUUGCCAAAGGCAACCACUGUUCUGUUUGCUAUAACCAUGGAUUAGCUGUAUCUAUUAUACAACUUCAUAUAAAUAGAUGCCAACAGUAUGUACUCUUUAGCACUUGACUUUUUUCCCCUCAAAAUAUGUGAGACUUAUACAUGUUGCUGCAUGUAUCAGUAGUUGCUUUUUUAUUGCUGAGUAGCAUUCCAUUGUAUGAAUAUAUCACAAUUUAUUCUGUUGAUGGGCAUUUGAGAUUUUUUCCAGCUUGGGGAAUAAAUCUGCUAUGAACAUUUUCAUA